UUACGACUUGUGACGUCCAACGUGUCAUCAGAUCACAAUCAAACGGAAGAAGAACGGACUGGUUUUGUAGACUAAAGCAGACGCAAGCACGACGCUGUGGCAUCCAUGCAGUUUUUAUAUUGACACGUUAAGGAGUGAAAGGUGGAAUUCGGUCGCAACAAAUAGCUGAAAUACGAGCGUCCAGAAGUACAUUGAGUAAAACGUGUGAACAAGGGUCCAGUUUGCUGGGAGCAUGGUGACGAGGGGUGGCUCUAGAGAUGACACU